CGCGGGCUCACGAGCGUUUCGAAUGUUUUCAGCUGUUUUUAUUCAAACUGUUUCUGAUCUUCAGAGCAGGAGCAGCAGCUUCGUUUCCUGAGCGGAAAACUUCUCUACGACUGAAGAGAUUAUCACUUUAUACUCACUGUUUUAUUACCUGUAUUGUAUUUUAAUUACUGUAUUAUAUUACUGUAUUAUCUGUAUUAUCUGUAUUGUUCUGUUUUGAAUUCCUUUUUGCAGGUUACCCGGACCGUUACUGCACCCGUUGUGGAGAGCGACGCCCUGCGGUCGGACAUGGACUGGCGGAAGAAGAUCUGUGGGGUCCAUCCACUCGAGGUUUCCGGCCCCGUUGUGGAGAGCGACCCCCCACGUUCGGAUUUCGACUGCCGGAAGAAGAUUUUUGGAGUCCUUCCACUCGAGGUGGAUUCUGGUCUGGACACCAGUUCGGAGGACUCCUUCAUUCUCCAGUUCUUUCCUUGCACAGAAGGGUCUCCAGAGUCUUCUUCCCCAACAUCUGGACGGCAUGUCAACCCCCUUGUUCUUCACCCCACCGUGAUGCCUCCCAGUCCUCCACGUCCCGGGCCAGGUCAUAGAGUUACAGAGGUUGCAGAGGCAGUGCCCUCUCACCGGCUGGACUCUACUGGACCAGAGCCUGAGAGUCAGCCUGAGUCAGCUGCACAGCGUGUGGCUGACUUGGGCCUGGAUGUGGAGGAUGAUGGUCGUAGGCAGGACUGAGGCGGCGAGGAGGUGUUGGAGCCUGCUUCCAGCAUGCAGAUGGCGCCGCCGAGUCCAGCCGGAAUCUGAGGCAGUUCCUGCUGCACAGGUAAUAUUAUGUAUUGGAAUAGUGUGUCUUUAAAUGAUGGAUAGUGUUAUCAGAUUAUAGCAAAUAUGCAGUUUUGUUCUAUUGUUCAUUCAUGUGCAUGGAAUGUACAGUGAGUCCAAGAAAUAUUUGAUCCCUUGCUGAUUUUCUUUGUUUG
rnacentral:lncRNA from 1 species